rnacentral:antisense_RNA from 1 species
CUUGAGCGAACCGAUGUACAACGGCCGGUCGGCGGGCCUGUCCUGGCCGUACGUCGCCAGCAGGGCCUGCGCCUC